GACAGAGGGUGCAAACGUUGUUCGGAAUUACUGGGCGUAAAGCGCGUGUAGGCGGCACUGCAGGUCGGAUGUGAAAGCCCAUGGCUCAACCAUGGAAGUGCACCCGAAACCGCAGAGCUAGAGUCCCGGAGAGGAAGGUGGAAUGCUUGGUGUAGAGGUGAAAUUCGUAGAUAUCAAGCGGAACACCGGUGGCGAAGGCGGCCUUCUGGACGGUGACUGACGCUGAGACGCGAAAGCGUGGGUAGCAAACAGG
rnacentral:rRNA from 1 species